CAGCAACAAUGCCCAGGGCUCUGAUGUGUCUCUCUCAGCUCCUACAAGGUGACAGAGCUGCUUUCUAUGGGACUUGGUGUAAAACAGUCAUUGCAGCCCCCGCCCCCAAUGGGACUUUAAGGGUCCCUGACUGCUGUUUCUGCCCCCAGCAUUGGAAUGUUAUUUAAUCAUCUCAACAUUUCUGCAUUAUUUUAAUAUUAGUGAUAUGUAUGUGU